CCGAGUGAGGGUCCUCUCGGGCCCGACCUCCCAACCCUAUGUUUACUGAACCUCUGUUGCUUCGGCGGACCCGCCUCACGGCCGCCGGAGGAUUGUCGUAAAUCCUCUGGCCCGCGUCCGCCGAUGGCCACCCUUUAAAACUCUGUAUGAAUCGUGUCAUGAUGUCUAAGUACAAUGUUAAAUUAAAAGCA
rnacentral:misc_RNA from 1 species